UACGUAGGGUGCAAGCGUUGUCCGGAAUUAUUGGGCGUAAAGAGCUCGUAGGCGGUCUGUCGCGUCGAAUGUGAAAACCCGGGGCUCAACCCCGGGCCUGCAUUCGAUACGGGCAGACUAGAGUUCGGUAGGGGAGUCUGGAAUUCCUGGUGUAGUGGUGAAAUGACGCAGAUAUCAGGAGGAACACCGGUGGCGAAGGCGGGACUCUGGGCCGAUACUGACGCUGAGGAGCGAAAGCGUGGGGAGCAAACAGG
rnacentral:rRNA from 1 species